rnacentral:rRNA from 1 species
UGAGGAAUAUUGGUCAAUGGAGGAAACUCUGAACCAGCCAAGUCGCGUGAAGGAAGAAUGUCCUAAGGAUUGUAAACUUCUUUAGCGAGCGAGUAAGGACUUCCACGUGAUGGGAGUUUGAAGGUAGCUCGAGAAUAAGUAUCGGCUAACUCCGUGCCAGCAGCCGCGGUAAUACGGAGGAUACGAGCGUUAUCCGGAUUUAUUGGGUUUAAAGGGUGCGCAGGUGGUCCUGCAAGUCAGUGGUGAAAAGCUGAGGCUCAACCUCAGCCUUGCCGUUGAAACUGCAAGACUUGAGAGUACAUGAUGUGGGCGGAAUGCGUAGUGUAGCGGUGAAAUGCAUAGAUAUUACGCAGAACUCCGAUUGCGAAGGCAGCUCACAAAGGUAUGUCUGACACUGAGGCACGAAAGCGUGGGGAGCAAACAGG